AUACUUACCUGGCAGGGGAGGUACCAUGAUCACGAAGGUGGUUUUCCCAGGGCGAGGCGCAUCCAUUGCAUGCCGGAUGUGCUGACCCCUGCAAUUUCCCCAAAUGUGGGAAACUCGACUGCAUCAUUUGUGCUAGUGGGGGACUGCGUUUGCCCUCUCCCCUG
rnacentral:snRNA from 1 species